rnacentral:rRNA from 1 species
AUACGUAGGUGACAAGCGUUAUCCGGAUUUACUGGGCGUAAAGGGCGUGUAGGCGGUCUUGCAAGUCAGAAGUGAAAUUCCUGAGCUCAACUCGGGCGCUGCUUCUGAAACUGCAGGACUUGAGUGCUGGAGGGGAUAGCGGAAUUCCUAGUGGAGCGGUAAAAUGCGCAGAUAUUAGGAAGAACACCGGUGGCGAAGGCGGCUAUCUGGACAGUAACUGACGCUGAGGCGCGAAAGCGUGGGGAGCAAACAGGAUUAGAUACCCUGGUAUUCCACGCCGUAAACGAUGAAUACUAGGUGUAGGGGGUAUCGACCCCCUCUGUGCCGACGUUAACACAUUAAGUAUUCCACCUGGGGAGUACGGCCGCAAGGCUGAAACUCAAAUGAAUUGACGGGG